rnacentral:rRNA from 1 species
AAAACAAGGAUGAACGCUAGCGGCAGGCUUAAUACAUGCAAGUCGAACGGGAUUCGGGGUAGCAAUACUUUGAUGAGAGUGGCGCACGGGUGCGUAACGCGUAUGCAACCUACCUUUAACAGGGGAAUAGCCCCGAGAAAUCGGGAUUAAUACUCCGUAACAUUGCGGUGUGGCAUCACACUGCACUUAAAGCUGAGGCGGUUAAAGAUGGGCAUGCGUGACAUUAGCUAGUUGGUGAGGUAACGGCUCACCAAGGCAACGAUGUCUAGGGGUCCUGAGAGGGUUAUCCCCCACACUGGUACUGAGACACGGACCAG